GUUUCUUAAAGUCAUCGUUUUAUACUGAGCUCAAAGUCAGUGAAAAUCUGCACAUUUUUUCCUUGUGCCCUUCGAUGCCUGGCUAGGCUUUCUCACGUGUUUCCAGACUAACUCGACGGAGUCGACAAGACUGCAAACGUCUCAUUUAAAGACGAGACUCCAGAGGACAGACAGACCAGAGGGAUGAAGGUGGGAAUCCUUAUUGUAAUUGAAGAUGAUGCCACCCCCACCACACUACCCAGUGUCAUAAAAUUUGCUGUUGUGUUGGAGGAGGUGAUUGUACUGAAAGAUGCUCCAGACUUGCAGUCUGCACUUGCAUACCUGUUCGGCCUUCUGUUUGCCUUGGACUUUGAGUACCCAAAGCAACUAAAAUACACUUUCGAGGUUAUUGAGAAGGUGUUCAUGAAGAUGGGCACUCACUGUUCUCCUAGGGUACAGUCCCUCAAAACUAAGCUAUUACUGUGACGUUGCAUUUGUGGGGUGUUUGUAUCUUAAGCAGUUAAGAUGCAAGUGAAUAGUAUUGUUGUUUUUUUGUUUUUUUUGCAAUGUGCUUGCAUUUUGUUUGACUUGUUUUUGGUUCAACUGUAAACUUGAGGUUGUGAAAAAGAUUGUGCCACUGUUUUAGCACUUUAAGCACAAACGUGAAAGGAACACACUGUCUUUUUGGGACUUUAGCUUAUUCACCAUAUCCACCAGAGUUAGAUAAGUCCAUACAUACCCUUCUCAUCUCUGUGCGUGCUGUAACUCUGUCUGAUGAACCCACAGCUAGCCUAGCUUAGCACAA
ensembl:lncRNA